AAACCAACCGGGAUUGCCUUAGUAACGGCGAGUGAAGCGGCAAAAGCUCAAAUUUGAAAUCUGGUACCUUCGGUGCCCGAGUUGUAAUUUGGAGAGGGCAACUUUGGGGCCGUUCCUUGUCUAUGUUCCUUGGAACAGGACGUCAUAGAGGGUGAGAAUCCCGUGUGGCGAGGAGUGCGGUUCUUUGUAAAGUGCCUUCGAAGAGUCGAGUUGUUUGGGAAUGCAGCUCUAAGUGGGUGGUAAAUUCCAUCUAAAGCUAAAUAUUGGCGAGAGACCGAUAGCGAACAAGUACAGUGAUGGAAAGAUGAAAAGCACUUUGAAAAGAGAGUGAAAAAGUACGUGAAAUUGUUGAAAGGGAAGGGCUUGCAAGCAGACA
rnacentral:rRNA from 1 species